UACGGAGGGGGCUAGCGUUGUUCGGAAUUACUGGGCGUAAAGCGCACGUAGGCGGCGAUUUAAGUCAGGGGUGAAAGCCCGGAGCUCAACUCCGGAACUGCCCUUGAGACUGGAUUGCUAGAAUCUUGGAGAGGCGAGUGGAAUUCCGAGUGUAGAGGUGAAAUUCGUAGAUAUUCGGAAGAACACCAGUGGCGAAGGCGGCUCGCUGGACAAGUAUUGACGCUGAGGUGCGAAAGCGUGGGGAGCAAACAGG
rnacentral:rRNA from 1 species